GAUUUCAAUAGACGACGCCUUCAAUGGAGGAGUCUAUGCAUACGAUGCCGUGUAUGCAACGAUAUGAAGAGUUGAUUAAUUUAUAAAUUUAUAUUUUAGUUUAUUGAUUGCAGAGUCAGAGAACAAUGUGUAAAUUUGAUAUUCUAGCCCUCGAAACCCCAGCUUUCCUUCUGCUUCAACAAGGCAUUAAAGAAAUUAUAAUUUCGGGAGGUCCCAGUGGGGCAUCCCAGUUAACGCAGCGAGAUGCCCCACAAUACGACCCAGCAAUCUUUAUUACUUGCGGUCUUCCACUGCCGGGAAUUUGUUACGCAUGCAAAUACUCAUCAGGGAAUAAGGUAACCAAUUCUGUUUUAUAUAAAAUUUUUAUUAUUCAAAUUAUUUCACAGCAGUAUUCAACAUGUCAGAAAUAAAAAUUAUGCCAUAAAAUAACAAAACGAGUGCCCAUUGCUUAAAGGCUUAGAGACUCGGGGCAAAUGGUGUUGCUGAUCCAUGGUGACAGCGUCGAUAAGGUUGCAGAAGGAUUGCGUUGCGUCGCAAAAUCUUCGCGUCCUAUUAAUUCCGCCAUUGCUGAUACUGAACGCCUUUUUAUCGGAGUCUAGUUCCAUCCUGAAGCGGAUUUGACUGAAAACGGCAUGUUGGAUUCCUUUCCAUUGAGUGCGAAACAUUGAUCUUGAUGGCUGGUGUAAAAAUUACAGGACGAAAAAAGUUGCAUAACUUCUUGUUCGACAACUGUGAAUUGCAAGGUUUCACAUUGGAGAAACGCGAGCAGCAUCAUCGGGUAUCUUAAGAUACUUCUCCGUAUCGUUCAGAAUCUCAUUAUUUGCCGCGUUGGUAUGAGAUUAAUGGAUACAUCUCCCUGUCACAUCACAAAAUCUACGGUUUAUAAUUUUUAUCCUAUGACCGAGUUCUUUUACAGACAGUGGCUUCUCGUUUUCUCUUCAAACCAGCGAUCAAACUUGAUGCUUCCAAUGGUUUUGAGUUGUUAGAGCAAGUUUGACUUUCUACCAUGCUUCCACCAACGUGCAUCGUCGCCAAACUUUGUCGUUGUAUCGGACUUCCAAUCCAGAAGAAAAACGUCGAAUUAUUGGCGAUACGUUUGUCAAAGUGGCAGAUAGAACGAUUUAAAUCUCACUUGGAAUACUCAACUUCUCAGACAAGGUACUUCGAGGCCGGAUUUAAUUGAGUCCACUUAGCAUAUGGCUUCUUCGCGUGGUUUGUCAAUCCGAAUCAUUUGCGCCGAAGAACUGUUCAUGGAAGCUGGUUUCGGUGAGACGCAUUCAAGAGAUGUCGUUUUUGGCCGGGGGGAGGCUAUACCCUUCCCACUUGAAAAUCACGGAAAUCAGGUUUAUUUUUCUAAUUGUCUUAUACUUUUUGGUUUAAACGUUAAAAACCAUAAAUUAAG